CUCACCUUUCAAAGCUUUACCAUUACCACUUCACUAUUUCUCUAAUAAAAUGGCAGCUAUUCAAGCAUUCACCCCUCUUGCUGACAUUAAGCCCUUCAAAACACAUUGGAAAAUUCAAGUUAAGAUUGUGCAUUCGUGGACACAAUACACUCAAUUCACCGGGGAGACAGUUGAAAUGGUUCUUGCUGAUACAGCUGUAAGUAUAAGAACUAUCAUUUUGAAACAUAUUAAACAUUUAUCAAUCAUCAAUAUCACUGGAUGAUUAACAUGAGUUCUUUUUAUCUGUUGCCAGGGUACUUUGAUUCAUGCUACUGUUAAGAAGCCACAAGUGAGCAAACUGCAAAGGUUCAUAGUUUCUGGAGAAUGGCGUAUUAUCGAGCAUUUUACGCUAACCAAAUCAACAGGAAAGUAUCGAGCCACAAAACAUGGUUUCAAAAUGUCCAUGAUGGAAAAAACUGUGAUAAGUCGCACUCCUUCUGUUUCUGAUGACAUUUAUGUGGAUCUGGCAAACUUUCCAGAUAUUUUGAAUGAAGCAGGAUUGAGUGAAAACAUCUUAAUUGGUACUAUAUCUAUCUUACUUUCCAUUGUAUAUUUUCUUUUUCUAUUAUAAUAGGAACUUCUUCAUGAAAAUAUAAUAUAUUACUCUCUUAUUUUGCAGAUGUACUUGGACAGGUAGUUAGUUUCAAUGAAAUGAAAAUUCAUGAUGUUAAUAACAAGAUCACAAAGAGACUUGAGUGUGAACUCAGAGACACAAAGUAAGUUUUAUCAUGAAUCUACCUUUUUUAUUUAAUCUUACAUACAUCUAAACUUAAAACUUUCUCAAUAUUUUUGUUGUAUUGUAGUGAUGAAAGGCUGAAAUGCACUCUUUGGGGGAGAUUUGCUGAGGCAAUGUAUAAUGCAUGUCAAAAUGCAGGGACUGAGAGAGUGAUAUGCUUACUUCGGCUUGCAAAGAUCAACUCAUUUAAAGGUAUAGAAUGUUGUUACUGGGAAUAAUGGAUGAUUUUGAAAUCGAAAUGAAAUCAGAACAUAUGUGAAAAUACUAAUAUCAUGCUGUUUGUAGGUGAAAGAGCUGUUUUAAAUUCAUUUGAUAUGUCUCUAUUGGAAAUCAAUGCUACCUACCCUGCUGUUCUUGAUUUUGUGGCCAAGUAAGAUAUGUUUAAACAUCACAUUUCUUUUACUAAUAUAGAUAACUGUUAAUCCUUUUUAUAAUAUCUAAAGUUGAUUUCGUGUUCUUUUAUUUGUUAAAAAUAGUUUACCACCGGAUGUUAUUCCACUGACUAUCGAAGACUCGAAGGCAAAACAAGUGAAUGCAGAACAGAGAAAAAAGGAUUACUAUGAUCGUUUUCCAAGGAAAACCAUCUCUGCACUCUUUUGUUUUGCUGAGGUAUUUGUAUUGGAUAAUAUUAUUUUUUCUAGAAACUAUUAAAUUCUCUGUCUAUACUACUAAUUAUCUAUUUUUUUGUAAUAGACUGGAAAGUGCAACAUAAUUUGUACCAUAAUGAAUAUCGACACAGACUAUUCUUGGUAUUUCUUUAGUUGCCUCAAGUGUAGCAAAACUGCCUAUAAGAUUCCAAAGGUUGAAAAUGAGAUUGUCAAGAAAGGCAAGAAAGAAAUGUUUUGGUGUCCAACAUGUAAGGAAGACACUCCUAAGGUGAUACCAAGGUAAGACUUUGAGAUUUGCUAAUAUAUAUCUACAUUUGUCAGAUAAUAACUAGGUACAUAAUCUACUUUCCUGUUCCUUUGAUAUGUAGGUAUCUUUUAAACGUUGGAGUGAUGGAUAGCACUGGAGACACUAAAUGUCUUAUCUUUGAUAAAAGUGCACAAGAGAUAAUCGGUGUGUCUGCAGAGGAUUUGCUGGAAGGGAAGUGGGAUGAGGUAAACAAAUUUAUUGUUAAUAUGUAUAUAGACCAUAUUAUUCAAAUAUCUUAUAUACUUUUUUCAAUCUAUCAUAACAGAUUCAGGAUCCUACAAACGUGCCUCAGCCAAUCAGAGAUUUGGUUGGAAAGACUUUCCAGUUUCUGGUGACUGUUGGAAAGGAAAACAUCAAUGAAACUGAUGAUACCUACAAGGUUUCAACCGUUUGGCUGGGUAAUGAAUCUGACAAUCUAGAUACUAUUGAAGAUUCUGACCAGCAGACUGACCAACGUAAUGACCUCUCUAUUGAUCAGGUAAUGUUAGUAGGUGCAACCAAAAUCAAUCUAUCAAAAAGUUAUUCAAGUUUAUCACUAAAGGGCUGGAUCGUGUUUCAAUUAAAUAGUGAGUACCAUCAGUUAUACUCAAGUCAGGGAAUAAAUUAUGGAUACUCAUAACUAUAUAAUUUAAUGACUUUGUUAUAUGAAAGAUUAUCUAUUAUAUAUUGACUCUCCUGAUUUUCUUACUUACAAGAAGGACUUGCUCUGACCAAUAGUGGUGAAACCACUGACCCUUUAGAUCCUACAUCAUCCACUCCUUCAUCUAAGCGUAGUAUGGAUGCAGUUUCUGAGGACAUUGAAGGUCAGGGUUCUACUACUAAAAAGGCAUGUGUCUCUUCCCUUCUUGGUGACAUUGAGAAGGAAGAGAUUGAAGGUGGCAAGAAUUAAGUUGUGCUGGCUGGGAAUAAUGUAGGGAGCUUGGCUGUAGCAAUUAGUUUUCUAUUUUUUCUUUUGUUCAAGUUUCAAAACUUAUUUAGUUUUUUCCUUCAGCUAUGUGCUAUUUAAUUCUCAGUUAUUUUGAAUUCAAGCAAUAAACUCUAAGCUUCUCCUUAAACGAAACUCUUUGCAAAAUAUAAACUAACUUAUGCUUAAACUAAAGAUCACAAAACAGAAAGAGAAAAUAUACUAACCUGUGCUUUGUACUGAUGAAUUUUCAUAUAUAAGCCCCAUUACUGUAGCUAACACUGCAGAUAAAAGAAAACACAUAUUAGUAACAAACAUUGAGAGACUGCGAUGAAUCUAUACUAAUCUGACGAUAUCUAUACUAUAAAUGGCUAACUUAAUUAAUAUGUGAGAUAUAUAAGUACAUAUAUUUUAAAGGGCAUAUGUGCAAAUAUUUUAAAGAUCGUAAGCUAUUAAAAUCUAUCUCCUAUUCUAAAUCGUUAACUAAUUGGAAUAGUAUAGCAGUAUAGAUAAAUCAGUUUUAAAAGGGUUCAUUGUUGCAGUAUAACAACUGUUUUCACGACCAAUUUAAUAUUUAACCUAUUAAUAUACAAGAUUCUAUGCUAAAAAUAAGAAUCAAUCAAUUAGAUUUUAUUAUGAAUAUGGAAAAGAAAAUAUAUUCUGUAAUCUUUUCAGUUUAAUGCUAUCACACUAAAUCAGGCCGAGACGAUUUCUUUACAAUCAUUACAUAACCAUUUUACACCUUCAAUCCUAAUCUACAGCGACUCGCCUCAUUAGCAAAGAAACAACUAUAAGGUCAGUCUUUUAAUAUCUUUCAACAUAUAACAUGUUCAUUGACAAAUGACAUAAUUGGAAUUAUUUUUCUAACAAAUCUAUUUUGUUUUUCAGAAUGAAGAGAAGAAAAAAUGAAACAGUAAAAGAAAAUAACAAUGUAAUGCAGACACCUAACACAAAGCGUUCUAGGUCUCAGCUAUAUGAUGAAAACAUAAAUCCAAAUCUACAGAACCAACAAGAUAGGAGUGAUGUUCAAGUAAAAGGGAUUUUUAAUCGAUUGAGAUCUGGAAUAGGUAACAUACCAGCCCAGCAGUGUGAUUCUGAAGCCUUACAGACAGUAACUGGUCCUUCUUCUUCUGCAGCCAUACAAAAGGAAACACAAGGUAUGUAAACAUUUAUAUUCCAACAAUAUAGCAUCUACAUAUGAUACAACUAAUAAAUAAUCAUAAUGUAUAGGAUUUGCAUCUACAGUUACUUAUAAUACGAGUGUAAGAUCAGCCAAAAAAACAGCAAGGACACAGAGAAGACCUUUUCAAGAUGUGCAGAACAUUAUUAAUACAUCACAGCUUCACAGCGAGGUUCACCAAACUCCACUUAAUCCACAUAAGCCACCAGAAAAAAAGGGGAAAAAGUGGAGUCCACCAUCUGUUAAUAGCAAACAAGGUAUACAUGCCUCUCAAUAAUAUGAAACUAUUACAUAAAAAAUAGACCUGAUAGAUCAACACUGAUGGAGUAAUGUUUAUUUCAUGAAGCUGCUAAGGGUAUUAUACUUACCAAUUCAAGAAUCAAUCUGAGGUUCCCAAAGUCUUUGGCAAAGGAGAAGAAAACAUCUGACAAGAGUUAUGAUACAACAAUCGAAGAAGACUCUGAUGAGAUCCUGAAUUCAAAGGAAGAAACAUAUAUUAAUAUGAGUAAGUAAAAAUCAUUAUGAUAUAUUUUCUAAACUUAAUAAAGCAUCCACUAAUCAGGGGAAAAAACUAUGAUAGGUGAUUUGGAGGAAACACGUGAACAGGUUUACGAGUGUAGUAGUCCAGAUGAAAAUGAUUCAGAAAUAUCUGAAGAUUAUGAAACCAUAGACGAUAUCCCAAUCGAAGUCAAACAAAGAUAUGAGUUUUUAUCAAUGUUAGAUGAAAGUUUGACCAAAGCUUUUGGAGAAAUAAAAACUCCUAAUGUUUCUAGCAGAAAGAACAAAAACACAAGUACUACAUCAUUGGUUUAUUUCUAAUUCUUUUCUUACACAAACUUUACUUAUGCUAAACUUAUUCCCGUUAUUGUAGAGUAUCUAGAUCAUGGAGAUCCUGUCUACUCAUGUUCCUACUGCGGUGCUAUUAUGUGGUAUGGCGAACGCAUCAACAGACAUAAGAAAGUUCGUAAACCAAUUUUUACUCAAUGUUGUCUGCAAGGAUCUGUGAAACUGCCUUUCCUCCAUAAUCAACCAGAACUGUUAUUUGCUUUUCUAAGCAAUGAUGAUGACAUGAGUAGACACUUUAGAGAGAACAUCCGAGCAUAUAACAUGAUUUUUUCAUUUACUUCUCUUGGGGGUAAGUGUGAUAAUUCUGUUACAGCGGGAAGGGGUCCUAAUAUGUUUCAGAUACAAGGAGAGAAUUACCACCAGAUGGGAAGUUUGAAACCUGGAGAAGGUGAAUUUCCUAAGUUUAGUCAGCUAUAUAUAGUUGACACAGAGAAUGAAGUUGAAAACAGAGCAGGAAUUUUAAGGUACAUUUUCUAACUCAAAACAAGCCAUCACAGUAUCCAGACUUUGUGUUUUUUUCUGUAAGUAUUAGUGUCGUUGCUAACUAAAUUAAUAUUUCAGCAAAGGAAAAUCUGCUGGGAAAUAUAAGAAGAAGUCAGAGUUGAGAAAAGAAAUAAUUGAGGCGAUAAUAAAGCUGCUAAAUGAAGUUAAUCCAUACGUUGCUCAUUUUAGACAAGCUCGUGAUAGGUUUAAUACCAAUCCUGAACAGAGCUUUCAUAUGAAAAUAGUGAGUGACCGUGUCAAAGAUGGAAGAACAUAUGCAGUGCCAACAGCUUCGGAGGUCGCAGCGCUGAUUCCAGGUGAUUUUCACAUUGGUAUGCCAAGUCGUGACAUUAUUAUUGAAGAAAAAUCUGGGUAUUUACAAAGAAUCAGUGAAAUAGAACCAUGUUAUCUUGCUCUACAAUACCCUCUAUUGUUUCCAAAGGGUGAAGAUGGUUAUAGGACAGGUAUUCAGAAAGGGAAUAACCAUGGUAAAAAGAAAAACAAGCCCGAAGGAACUGAGGAGAAUGAUUGCAUAAGUUUGCGUCAAUGGUAUGCGUAUCGUAUACAAGAGAGAAAGAAUGAACAAAGUAUCCUGCUAAGGUCAAAACGGUUGUACCAGCAGUUCUUGGUUGAUGCUUAUACCACCAUUGAAGCUAAUAGGCUCAAAUAUAUUAAACUGAAUCAGUCAAGUUUACGAGCUACUAACUAUGAUUCAGUUAAAGAGGCGGCAACAGCAGGAAAGACAGAUAUGAAUGAAGAAGGAAAAGCAUUUUAUCUACCAGCUACUUUUGUUGGUGGGCCAAGAUACAUGAAGAACAUGUACAUGGAUGCAAUGUCUACAUGUAAUCAUUAUGGAUUUCCUGACCUAUUCAUUACGUUCACAUGCAAUCCAAAAUGGCCUGAGCUGGUAAGCUUUUGUACUGAGAGAAAUUGUAAUUCCGAUGAUAGGCCAGAGAUCAUAAGCAGAAUGUUCAAAAUGAAGCUGAAUUCUCUAAUGGAUGAUUUAACGAAGAAACAUAUAUUGGGGAAGACUGUUUCAUGUAAGUGAUUUAUUUUAAUAGUUGCGU
rnacentral:lncRNA from 1 species